CGACGUGAAUCGCCAUUGGCAUUCCAUUAUUAUUGUUAAACGUAUAUAUAAUAUAGUGUUCUGAUCGCUACUGCCUGGUGGAAGCCUAUAGUCACCUCUUAUCUUUUAACACAGUCAUAAAUUGUCAGUUAGGCCUAGCCUCAAAUCAUUUUGUAAGGAUGCCAAUAACUAAAAGGAAAAUACAGAGAAAAAUUAAGAUCUUUUCACCUAAUGGAAACAGAACUGUGACAAUACAUUAUAGAAGACCAGGAAGUGAUCUACAACAAAAUAGAGUAUCUGCAAAUAUUCCAACCACAUCUACAGACAACUUGCCUAUUAAUAUUCCCAAUGAGUUUAACACAGAGGAAACACCAUCCACCUCUACAUCCUCAAGUAACAAUUAUCAAAAGAAAAAACAGCAGACUUUUGAUAAUUGGUCAAAGAUUAAAGAUCCUUUAAUCGACAUUCAUAUUGAGGAGUUAAGUCCUCCAACAUUCGAAUGUCAGUUCUGUUUGCGUCAUGAUGAGAACAUCAUCUUUUGCUUUGAUUGUGGACCCUUGGCAUUCUAUUGUUCAGAUUGUUGCAUCAAGGUCCACAAGACAGUUUGUUUGCAUUCUCCACAACAAUGGCAGGGUGAAAUAUAUGUCCCGUUCAAUUUACCAGCUUGUAUAUACAAACGAUUGGAUAAACAUGAAUGUGAAUCACAGUAUAUCUCACCUAUAUAUGUUGUAGAUGUGAAGGG